ACUCAAUAGAUACCCAGGUAGUCCACGCCCUAAACGAUGUCUACUAGUUGUCGGGUCUUAAUUGACUUGGUAAACGCAGCUAAACGCGUGAAGUAGACCGCCUGGGGAGUACGGUCGCAAGAUUAAAACUCAAAGGAAUUGACGGGGACCCGCACAAGCGGUGGAUGAUGUGGAUUAAAUUCGAUGCAACGCGAAAAACCUUACCUACCCUUGACAUGGAAGGAAUCCCUGAGAGAUCGGGGAGUGCUCGAAAGAGAACCUUUACACAGGUGCUGCAUGGCUGUCGUCAGCUCGUGUCGUGAGAUGUUGGGUUAAGUCCCGCAACGAGCGCAACCCUUGUCAUUAGUUGCUACGAAAGGGCACUCUAAUGAGACUGCCGGUGACAAACCGGAGGAAGGUGGGGAUGACGUCAAGUCCUCAUGGCCCUUAUGGGUAGGGCUUCACACGUCAUACAAUGGUACAUACAGAGGGCCGCCAACCCGCGAGGGGAGCUAAUCCCAGAAAGUGUAUCGUAGUCCGGAUUGUAGUCUGCAACUCGACUGC
rnacentral:rRNA from 1 species